ACCUGGGUGGCUCAGUCGGUAAAGCAUCCGACUUCAGCUCAGGUCAUGAUCUCAUGGUUUGUGGGUUCAAGCCCCACGUCAGGCU
rfam:Felis catus isolate Cinnamon breed Abyssinian chromosome X, whole genome shotgun sequence.